CAGACACUCUGGGCUAUUUUCAGACUCUUGUGGCAUUUCUGGUUUGGAUUCAGUCUGCAGCAAAUGAUGCCUUUUGGGCUUGCUCUUCCUGUUGCCUGAUCAUGCUGCCAGUAUAUCAUGUGGUUUCAGCCCAAGCAUUUCAGCAGAUGUGCCUUUGAAAUAGCUGACCAAGCCUUUGCGGUUUAUGUCCAACUGAGUUUAAGGGCACUAACUCCCAGAGAUUUGGAACUGGAGACCUCUCCAAGACCCCCGUCCUCGGCCUCUUUGCUCAGGUCCUGGAGGUCUAGGCCCGUAACUUUCCUGAUCAAGUCUAACCAUUUGGUAU